GUAGCGGCGAGCGAAACGGGAAAAGCCCAAACCAACAAGCUUGCUUGUUGGGGUUGUAGGACUCCGAUAUGGUAGUCUAUUCAGAUAGUCGAAAUACUUGGAAAAGUAUGUCAAAGAGGGUAAAAACCCCGUAGGCGAAAUUUGGAUAACACCUAGGAGGAUCCUGAGUACGGCGGAACACGAGGAAUUCCGUCGGAAUCCGGGAGGACCAUCUCCCAAGGCUAAAUACUCCCUAGUGACCGAUAGUGAACCAGUACCGUGAGGGAAAGGUGAAAAGCACCCCGGAAGGGGAGUGAAAUAGAUCCUGAAACCGUGUGCCUACAACAAGUUAGAGCCCGUUAAUGGGUGAUAGCGUGCCUUUUGUAGAAUGAACCGGCGAGUUACGAUAGCAUGCGAGGUUAAGUUGGAGAGACGGGGCCGUAGCGAAAGCGAGUCUGAAUAGGGCGAAUGAGUAUGUUGUCGUAGACCCGAAACCAUGUGAUCUACCCAUGUCCAGGUUGAAGGUGCGGUAAAACGCACUGGAGGACCGAACCCACGUACGUUGAAAAGUGCGGGGAUGAGGUGUGGGUAGCGGAGAAAUUCCAAACGAACUUGGAGAUAGC
rnacentral:rRNA from 1 species